UACGGGGGGGUGCGAGCGUUGUCCGGAAUCACUGGGCGUAAAGGGCGCGUAGGUGGUUUGAUAAGGGUGUGGUGAAAGUCCGGGGCUCAACCCCCGGAUCUGCCGUGCCGACUGUCAAACUCGAGGACUGUAGAGGCAGACGGAAUUCCGGGUGUAGCGGUGGAAUGCGUAGAGAUCCGGAGGAAGACCGGUGGCGAAGGCGGUCUGCUGGGCAGUUUCUGACACUGAGGCGCGACAGCGUGGGGAGCGAACAGG
rnacentral:rRNA from 1 species